rnacentral:lncRNA from 1 species
CGCUUUCCAUUAUUGAAGAAAAGAGAGAGAAUUUAUGUUUCUUGAUUUGAGAAAAAAUGGAAUAAAUGUUGUUUCUGAUGCUUUGAGGGAGAGGAUGGAAGAGAGAGAAUGAAAAAUGCAAAAUGAAGUAAUCGAGGAAGUUUACUAUAAUACCAAGAAAUAAAGUGGUAAAAAGGAAAAUUUGAAGUCUAAUGCAAAAGGUACACAUGUU